rnacentral:lncRNA from 1 species
CUGCACCCCAGAUGUCCACCCUACCUGUUCCCUGACUUCCUCCAUCCUGUCCAGCAGGAUGGGCUGGACAGUGGGACAGCCUGUGUGCACAUUUUGUGGCAAGUAGGAGUGACACAUCAUCCCUGGGAGGCACCAUGGUUCCUGCCAAACCCAACCCCAGAACUCUGUCCCUGAGGUGGUUUUACCAAAACCCAAAACCCAGAAUUGUGCUUGUGGCUCAGGGGUCAGCACCUGCUAGUACCAGGACACUACUGGGAGGCUGGGACCUGACCGAAGCCCAUGGUGUCUGUGGCCUGAGGACAGGGUGUGUUGGGGCCAUAAGUCUCGGCCACCAAUGGCCAUUGGGUCCUAGGGCCUCAGCCCCAGUGUUUGCCCUUCCCUGGCUCCUUCUGGUUCAGUCCCAUUAGGGCCCUGGAGCCCAAGACCCAGCACCCAAGGUCCCCUCCAGGAAUAUUGGCGGCUUGGCUUCCUUUAUCAUGUUUCAUCUGAGAGCAAAAAUGUCAGAUCGGAUGCACAGAAAAAUGGCCCAAGUUGUUUAAUAACUAGAAGAAAUAUAGGAGCAGCAAGAGGGUAAUGUGGAGAGGGGAGGGCCUCCAUGACCGGUGUCUGCAGAGCCAGGGGUACAGGCACCCAGUGUUGUGGCCUGGCACCACCGGCCUCUCAGAGCGUGGGUGGCCCACUGUCUUUACCCAGAGGACAGCAGGCCUGAUCACCAGCUUUUCUACCUGUCCCUGUAAGCAUCACAUUGCUAGAAGAAAAUCUCAUGCCAGAGCUUGCACCAUCCCUAGCUUGGGGGUUAGGGGUUGUCUCUUGGUGACCUAAAUGAAAAAAUAGGUCCAGAUCAGAGUUCCUGACGCAGAGCACUCACCCACUCUUUGAAUCGUGGGAGGGGAGGCCUGGUUUUAGGUAAACCUAACCUCUUUGAGGAACCACAGAGCCCAAGACUGGAAACCUUCAGAAUCUUCUGGCCCCCAACCCUCCCUGGGGACCCCUGUGGCCUGUCUCACCAGAGCACUCUUCCGUCUGUAGAUGUCUCAGCUGCUCUACAAGGGAGUCCCAUUUCAGAGCAGGACAAACAGGCCCGGUGGUGUCAGGAGCCCAGGUCUCCAGCUGGAGGGAACGUCAACCCUGCAGUGGGAGCAGGGGCCCAUUGCACAUCCUAGGCACAGAUGCUAAUGCAGGCACUGCAGGUAAGCUGGGCUUGGUAUCCUUCCCUGGCUUCAGAAAGAAGCCAACAAGGAGCGUUUUGCAGAAUGAAACCUUUCUUUCCAGAAGCACUGCUGACUGUAAGUGGUUGCCGUUUGUGGCAGUGAGCAUUUUGUCCAUUCUGAGGUUGGAUUGGUUUCUCCUUUUGGCCUUGCCCUGGCCUACAGACCAUAAAGGAGAACAGCAAGAAGCCCCCAGCAAACAUCUACAGAUGGCCCUGGACAUCAGCCACAUUCUGAGGAACAUGUCAUGUUCUGGGAGGGCUAAGGCAUCAAGUAAGGCCUGUGGGGCUGGAGGAUCCCAGGCAAGGUGGGGCAAUCCAGAGCCAUGGGGCCUUCCCAUGGGAAUUGGGAGGUCCCAAGGCAGAGUCAGAGGUUCCACAGGAGGAGUCAGAGAGUCACCAAGGGCUCUCCUGGCCCAGGGAGCAGUCAACACCAUGGACUGAACACUUGCUGGGCUCCAACCCCUGGGCCAGGCUGCCCACGUGGGGCCAGGGGGCAGCUCAGAGUGGGAGGCAGAGAGAGAAGUGUGCUCAGAGGGCACCUGUAUCUGGAUGUAAUGUGGUUCUGAGACUCUGGCUGGGAAGUUCUUCCAGGGUAUCAUAUGUGUUAUGCAGCUACUUCCUCUCCCCAGCCUUACCCUGUAGGAAUUCUAGUGACUAUGUUGCCACCAUCUUGGAGCUCCAUGCCCUCAUAGUGUAAUGGCAUCAGCAGAUCUGCCUGUGCACAGACUUCCUGUACUACCUCACUCCUGAGGGGAGAUGCUUCUGCAGGGCCUGCGACCUGGUGCUCAACUUUAGACACCAUCAUUCUGGAGCGGCACUGCACCCUCACUAGCCAGGGUGUUGACGUCCUCAAGGCCAAGGCCACAUUCAAGACUUUGGACUUCAUUGAUGCACUUGUGCCGAGCAAGCUUAUCUGAUCUUCUGGGAUCUCUACUAGGAUGCUGGCAGCCCAGCCAGCUGGUCUGGCCCUGGACGUGCCUUCAGGGGCUGGGUAUGCUUCAUGACCUGUGUUUUGAUCCUGGUUGGAGUAAAACAUUCCAUGGGAACUCGGGCUGUGAGAAACGUCCUAACCACCUGACUGCAGAAACAUCCUUAUCACAUCCUGCUGGGCAAAGGCCCAACAGCCUGACUUCAGGAACAUCCUUAUCAUCAUCUACUGAGCAGCAAGCUAUACUGUCCAGAGCCCUCCCUCCCAGCCCCAUGAUUACCCCAGCCUGUAAGUGGCAGUGGGCGCUGACACUAAGCUGGUUUCCCC